rnacentral:tRNA from 1 species
GGGCCGUUAGCUCAGUUGGUAGAGCAGAUGACUCUUAAUCAUCGGGUCGGAGGUUCGAGUCCUCCACGGCCCA